AGCCCAUGUCUCACGAACUACCCUGUGGCCAAACUCAGACAGUCCAGGCACAUUAUAUUCUGAAUGGAGGCGCCCUGCAGGGGCUGGAGAAGCUCUCCUUCUAUUAUCUGAUAAUGGCAAAGGGAGGCAUUGUCCGAACUGGGACUCAUGGACUGCUUGUGAAGCAGGAAGACAUGAAGGGCCAUUUUUCCAUCUCAAUCCCUGUGAAGUCAGACAUUGCUCCUGUUGCUCGGUUGCUCAUCUAUGCCGUUUUACCUACCGGGGACGUGAUUGGGGAUUCUGCAAAAUAUGAUGUUGAAAAUUGUCUGGCCAACAAGGUGGAUUUGAGCUUCAGCCCAUCACAAAGUCUCCCAGCCUCACACGCCCACCUGCGAGUCUCAGCGGCUCCUCAGUCCGUCUGCGCCCUCCGUGCUGUGGACCAAAGCGUGCUGCUCAUGAAGCCUGAUGCUGAGCUCUCGGCGUCCUCAGUGAGUUCCCGGCAGCCUCAGGAAUCAAGAAGGGCCAUGCCAGGGGCUCAGAGCAAGGAAAAAUGACUGGAUAAGUAGGAUAAGAUCAAUUAAAAUUAUAUUUAUCUAGGAAUUAAUUGCUUUGAGCUCUCUUGUGGGCUUUCAUUGGUAAGGAAUUUUAUAUAUAUAUAUAAAACUACUCACUUCUGCAGUUAAAAAAUAAACAAAAUACAAUAUAUUGAA
rnacentral:sRNA from 1 species